GGGGGUGGUUUCGCUUACUAUUAUUACCGCGGUUCUGGAAAGACCCGGCCCAGCCCAGGUCAGAUGGUCACAUGCGCGUGGGUCGGAUCAGGAUCCCGUAGGACUGGAGUUGCAGACAGUUGUGAGCCGCCAUGUGAACGCUGGGAUUUAACCCGUGUCCUCCCGGAAGAGCAGCCAGUGCUCUGAACCGCUGAGCCAUUUUUAGCCCCCUCGCUGUUUUAAAGAGAAUAAAAAUAUGGGUACGGAGACGAUUUAAGUCAA